GACGAACGCUGGCGGCGUGCUUAACACAUGCAAGUCGAGCGGAGCGGCGAACGGGUGAGUAACGCGGGAGUAACUGCCCCCCUCUCUGGGAUAACAGUUGGAAACGGCUGCUAAUACCGGCUAGUGGGGGAUGACUCGCGUCCUAUCAGCUUGUUGGUGGGGUAGUGGCCUACCAAGGGGACGACGGGCAGCCGGCCUGGGAGGGCGACCGGCCACAGUGGGCUGCGGGACGGACCAGACUCCAACGGGAGGCAGCAGUGGGGAAUAUUGCACAAUGAGGGAAACCCUGAUGCAGCGACGCCGGGUGCGUGAUGACGGGCUUCGGGUUGUAAACCGCUUUCAGCCAUGACGCGGUAGUGGCAGAAGAAGCACCGGCUAACUACGUGCCAGCAGCCGCGGUAAUAC
rnacentral:rRNA from 1 species